CGGAAGGGGCGAGCAGUUAUCUUGCGUUCAGAUUCCGGUGUCGCUUUUUCGUUUCCAUUUCAAUUUUGUCAACGUAUAUUGUCUUGUUUGGUUAGUUUGUCUAAACUAAGCUUACUGGAAAGUCUCGGUAACACGGUAACCACAUGACGCGUUUGUUUAAAGUUGUAAAGGGCCGGAGUUAGCCUAAUUUAAUAGUAGCUAACGUCAAUGUUAGCUAAUGUAGCUACCGUUAGCUCCUCGUGUUCUACUGCUGACCUCACGACCCUCUAGCUUGCAGGAUGUCUAAACUUGAACGUUUAAAUGCCCGAGUGGCCAAGCUACUGACCGAAGCGGUGCACGAGGUGCUGGGGGUGGUGAAGGAGACCGUGUCCGAGUACCAGGAGAAAACGGCCAGAACGCUGAGAGAGAACGAGAGUCUAAAGAGAAAGCUGCAGGAGCUGCAGGACGAGCUAACGAGAUCGAGCAUAGCUGCUCUACGUACAAGUAGUUCGUCACCUCAAGAAAGACGAGACGCGCCGAGUCAGGAGCGGGAUUUGAUGCUCGCUUUGAGGCAGGACCCGGACCUCCACCUCGCUGAGCAAAAACGCGUAGUCAGCCACCAACCCGUCAAGGAUGUGAAGGAGGAAUUGAAACCACAGGAGGCCUACAAUAACGCCGAGCCACAAGCCGGGUGCAACUCGGCGCAAACUGCGGAGCGCUGCGUGGAACACAGACACGUGGUGACACGCGUUAUUGAGGAUGCAUCGACCAGAGCGAACAGCGGAUUCAGUGCCGCCGUGGCCGAUACGGCGUGCGCCUCUCAGUGUGGCCCCUCGCUCGGGCUCAAUCCGGGCAUUAUCAAGAGGGAGUACGAACCGACAGGCUGCGCGGCAUCCGAGCCCUCGUCUCAUCAACGGCAGUUCAGUGGGUGUGUGGAUCUAAGCUGCAACUCGUCCCGUCAGACCUCUGCCGGGACGCACAGGUCACAGGUCGGUGCCGCGCCGCACGGACGCCUCACCGUGCACGGCAAACAAGCCACGCCGAGGAGGCACGGCUUUGCAAAAACCAACCGGGCCGCGUUCGACGGGAGAAGAUUCCGGGUGGAGCACUUCGGGGGGGAUGACGCCCACUCGUGUGUCGUAUGCGGCAAGACGUUCAGCCGGGUGGGGAACUUGAGAAUCCACCAGCGCUGUCACACGGGAGAGAAGCCGUAUGGCUGCGUUCUGUGUGGGAGACGCUUCAGCCAGGCGGGAGACCUAAAGAAACACAAGAGGGUCCACACAGGGGAGAAACCGUACUACUGCAACCGGUGUGGAAAGAGCUUCAGUCGGGGGGAGAAUCUGAAAAGACAUCAGAAGAUUCACGUCGGAGAGGUCUUACAGUUGCAAUGAAUGUCACGCCAGACUGACCAAAAUCUGCACACUUUUUUUUUGUAGAACCUGUGAAGGAUCUUUAUGGGACUUUGCACUUAGUUUAAGAAAUCGUUUCAAUGAUAACAAAUAUUGAAACUCUUUUGGAAUCGUGGCUUGUGACAAAGAGUGUCCUGCUGUUCUGGUGUGUAGCCAGCUGUGUGCUUGUUACGCAACUCCUUUUGUGCUUGUAAUGGCGAUGCAACGUAGAUGGUCAUCAUUUAACCACAACUAAAGCUAAAGCUUUACAGAGAGAGAAAUGCACUGAUCAGUACAUCAUUCUACAACACGAUUUGGUUGUUUGUGGGAUUUCACAUCAUGACGUUUUGAACAAACAUGCUUAAAGGUCCUCCACAGCCAUUAAUUCAGGUGAUUUUCAGUUUUUGUGGCUGAGACGAUUUCAGGAAUUCGUGGCAUCUCUCUUUCUACCAUCAGCUGUGUUCGACCGGUUAGUGCACCCAAAGAUAGAACUCUUGUAAUGCUAGUUAGUACGAAAACAAAACAACUGCAGGGAUUUUAAGAUAGGAAUGAGUAAAUUAUACAUUUAAUUUAGCACCUUCAAUUGUUAACUUAUUUUUUCCAAUGCAUGACAUAAUCAUUUAGUUUUCAAAUAAUACAGAAGGGAAACGUAAUACAAUAACAUUUUAAAUGCUGCAUUAGUGCAGUUCUAGUUUGCUGUAAAAACGAUAAAUCCAGCAUUUGGUAAAAAGAGCAGGUUAAAAUAUUGUAGGUAAAUGAAAAAAAUGAGUUAUCUCACAUUGUUAAAUGAUGAAGACAAUUUAAACUUUUUAGAAUGGGGGUUGCAUGAUUGUCUUUGAAAUGUGAUUUUCCAGAGUGAUCAAAGCUCGCUGUGUGCUACAUAUACUUAUUGCAACUCUUUUUGCCAUUAAUGAUAAAAGCCAGGAAAAUUGUUCAUGCAGCAAAGCAAUAAAUUAAUUUGUUAUUACCACAAACGGCCAACUGAGCGUCUGUCACUCAAAGGCUUGUUUACGUACACACACGUUUCUUGUGUCAUGGCUUUUUUUUAUCGAUAAGUAAAAACAGACUAUUAAUACAAAGCUGGAGUGUUAUUUUCUUGACUUUACACCCCAGGAAGUAGUCCACGGUUCAAUGCAAAUGUCAACGAUCCGUGUAGUGCACAUGGCAGCAUCCAAAAUGUGCUUCACUCUAAUUCAAGUCCACUACUUCAUAUUUUCUUAAAUAUAGACAUGACGCACAAUAGAAAUAAAGGGGACAGGACAGGCCCCCCGUGUUAUCUGGCACGAACCUGAAAUGAUCUCUAUCAGGACGGACAGACUGCAAUGGAUGGCAUGUGUACAGAAUAAACAAUGUAAAUGAUGUACAAUACAUUUAAUUCCUCUAACAAAUGAUGCAUAUAAUUGCAAGUAGCAGAACAAGUGUACGGCGGGACCACCACAGGGACAACCACCUUCCACAGAGGCUUCUGUGAGGAGGGAAUCUCUGUUUAUGAAGUGACUUCACAAUGUUUUAGUGGUCUGCCCUCACCGUGGCAACCAGGAAGUGAUUGACACACACUCACACACACACACACACACACACACAGGAGGAGGAAACCGAAACAACACCACACACUGCAAGAAAAAGGGCGAGAGAAAGACUUCCUAUCAGAAGCGCUGGUUCGUGCUGAAGGGGAACCUCCUCUUCUACAAGGACCGGCCGGCCGACCGGGACGUGACAGGGGUGAUUGUUCUGGAGGGCUGCACC